rnacentral:rRNA from 1 species
AACGAACGCUGGCGGCAGGCUUAACACAUGCAAGUCGAACGAGAUCUUCGGAUCUAGUGGCAGACGGGUGAGGAACACGUGGGAACAUCCCUUUCAGUUCGGAAUAACGUUGGGAAACUAACGCUAAUACCGGAUACGUCCUUCGGGAGAAAGAUUUAUCGCUGAAAGAUUGGCCCGCGUCUGAUUAGCUAGUUGGUGAGGUAACGGCUCACCAAGGCUACGAUCAGUAGCUGAUCUGAGAGGAUGAUCAGCCACAUUGGGACUGAGAAACGGCCCAAACUCCUACGGGAGGCAGCAGUGGGGAAUAUUGGACAAUGGGCGCAAGCCUGAUCCAGCCAUGCCGCGUGAGUGAUGGCGGCCUUCGGGUUGUAAAGCUCUUUUGUCCGGGAAGAUAAUGACUGUACCGGAAGAAUAAGCCCCGGCAAACUUCGUGCCAGCCGCCGCCGUAA